rnacentral:rRNA from 1 species
UACGUAGGUGGCAAGCGUUGUCCGGAAUUAUUGGGCGUAAAGCGCGCGCAGGCGGAUUGGUCAGUCUGUCUUAAAAGUUCGGGGCUUAACCCCGUGAUGGGAUGGAAACUGCCAAUCUAGAGUAUCGGAGAGGAAAGUGGAAUUCCUAGUGUAGCGGUGAAAUGCGUAGAUAUUAGGAAGAACACCAGUGGCGAAGGCGACUUUCUGGACGAAAACUGACGCUGAGGCGC